rnacentral:lncRNA from 1 species
GCAACCAAUAUCAUAAUCUCAUAUUCAAUUAGUCAGAACAACAACUUUGUCUUUUUACUUGCCUACUAGUAUCUAUGGGGGUUCAUAGGGAUGUCUCUACUAUGCGUGAACCAUUAUUCAAUAUUGUCAACUAACCAGUCGUCCCCAUAUCUUAUCCGAUAUGAACGUCAAAAGUAUCAUCUCUCAAUACUUCAUCUGGUAUAAGUGUGAAACGGGUCGUCCUCAUACCUCAUCCGGUAUG